AUUUUCCCGAGGAAAGUCCGAGCAUCACAGAGCAGGAUAGCUGUUAACGGCAGCCGAGGGCGACCUUAGGGCAAGUGCAACAGAGAUAUACCGCCAGAAAUGGUAAGGGUGGAAAGGCGAGGUAAGAGCUCACCGAUGCAUUGGUGACAAUGCAGUCAUGUAAACCCUAUCCGAUGCAACACCGAUUGGUUCGGAGAGCAAUGCGUCUGCUCGGCGCACUUCGAUUAAGGUGGCUACAUGCCUUUGGGCAGAGGAUUCCGACGGCGACGACGGAACUGGAUAGAUGAUUGCACACGACAGAACUCGGCUUAUCGAUGAA
rnacentral:RNase_P_RNA from 1 species